GAUGAACGCUGGCGGCGUGCCUAAUACAUGCAAGUCGAGCGAACAGACGAGGAGCUUGCUCCUCUGACGUUAGCGGCGGACGGGUGAGUAACACGUGGAUAACCUACCUAUAAGACUGGGAUAACUUCGGGAAACCGGAGCUAAUACCGGAUAAUAUAUUGAACCGCAUGGUUCAAUAGUGAAAGACGGUUUUGCUGUCACUUAUAGAUGGAUCCGCGCCGCAUUAGCUAGUUGGUAAGGUAACGGCUUACCAAGGCAACGAUGCGUAGCCGACCUGAGAGGGGGAUCGGCCACACUGGAACUGAGACACGGUCCAGACUCCUACGGGAGGCAGCAGUAGGGAAUCUUCCGCAAUGGGCGAAAGCCUGACGGAGCAACGCCGCGUGAGUGAUCAUGGUCGUCGGAUCGUAAAACUCUGUUAUAAGGGAAGAACAAAUGUGUAAGUAACUAUGCACGUCUGGACGGUACCUAAUCAGAAAUCCACGGCUAACUACGUG
rnacentral:rRNA from 1 species